UGUUCCUGUCCAACAAUGCGCCUUUCGACUGCAAAGGUUUUAGUAUUAUCUGUGCAUCGUCAUGCAUGGUGAUUGCCCUCAGUUGUGCUUGGAUGCUAAAACCAGAAGCACCACCAGAGAAUGAUUUGGAGGCUAAUGUAGAUGACAUCGAAUCGCCACUUCUAUCAUAGAAGGUGGCAGUAUUAUCCUAGAUACUCCUCUUAGGCUGGCAAUGUAUAGUAAUUUUGAUGCUUUGUUGUCGCUAAUAUAGAACGUAAAUAUCUAUGUAGUCUGCCAUUUUCUGCUAGUUACACUCUCUCAUAGAAAAUAUAGAGCAUUGAAUUGUUUCUCCUGCAACAAGAGAGUGCAUUAUAAUUAUUAUUCAUGCUCAACAUAAGAGUGGUGUGUUAAAUGAUCUAAAGGUAAGUGAUGUCACCAAAAUAAGUGAAGCAAAUUCUAAUUUAUUGUUACCACA